AACGCACAUUGCGCCCUUUGGUAUUCCGAAGGGCAUGCCUGUCCGAGCGUCAUUUUCACCCCUCAAGCCCCUGGGCUUGGUGUUGGACGGCCUGGUUGGGUAACCGACCCCUCCUAAAGAUAAUGACGGCGGCCUGGAUUGACCCCCGGUACACUGAGCUUCUUAACUGAGCACGUAUCGGAUCUUAGCGGUCGACAGGACCCGGUCGAAACCUCUUUCAAGGUUGACCUCGGAUCAGGUAGGGAUACCCGCUGAACUUAA
rnacentral:misc_RNA from 1 species